rnacentral:rRNA from 2 species
UUAAUGAGAGUUUGAUCCUGGCUCAGGACGAACGCUGGCGGCGUGCCUAAUACAUGCAAGUAGAACGCUGAAGAGAGGAGCUUGCUCUUCUUGGAUGAGUUGCGAACGGGUGAGUAACGCGUAGGUAACCUGCCUUGUAGCGGGGGAUAACUAUUGGAAACGAUAGCUAAUACCGCAUAACAAUGGAUGACACAUGUCAUUUAUUUGAAAGGGGCAAUUGCUCCACUACAAGAUGGACCUGCGUUGUAUUAGCUAGUAGGUGAGGUAACGGCUCACCUAGGCGACGAUACAUAGCCGACCUGAGAGGGUGAUCGGCCACACUGGGACUGAGACACGGCCCAGACUCCUACGGGAGGCAGCAGUAGGGAAUCUUCGGCAAUGGGGGCAACCCUGACCGAGCAACGCCGCGUGAGUGAAGAAGGUUUUCGGAUCGUAAAGCUCUGUUGUAAGUCAAGAACGAGUGUGAGAGUGGAAAAUUCACACUGUGACGGUAGCUUACCAGAAAGGGACGGCUAACUACGUGCCAGCAGCCGCGGUAAUACGUAGGUCCCGAGCGUUGUCCGGAUUUAUUGGGCGUAAAGCGAGCGCAGGCGGUUUGAUAAGUCUGAAGUUAAAGGCUGUGGCUCAACCAUAGUUCGCUUUGGAAACUGUCAAACUUGAGUGCAGAAGGGGAGAGUGGAAUUCCAUGUGUAGCGGUGAAAUGCGUAGAUAUAUGGAGGAACACCGGUGGCGAAAGCGGCUCUCUGGUCUGUAACUGACGCUGAGGCUCGAAAGCGUGGGGAGCGAACAGGAUUAGAUACCCUGGUAGUCCACGCCGUAAACGAUGAGUGCUAGGUGUUGGAUCCUUUCCGGGAUUCAGUGCCGCAGCUAACGCAUUAAGCACUCCGCCUGGGGAGUACGACCGCAAGGUUGAAACUCAAAGGAAUUGACGGGGGCCCGCACAAGCGGUGGAGCAUGUGGUUUAAUUCGAAGCAACGCGAAGAACCUUACCAGGUCUUGACAUCCCGAUGCUAUUUCUAGAGAUAGAAAGUUACUUCGGUACAUCGGUGACAGGUGGUGCAUGGUUGUCGUCAGCUCGUGUCGUGAGAUGUUGGGUUAAGUCCCGCAACGAGCGCAACCCCUAUUGUUAGUUGCCAUCAUUCAGUUGGGCACUCUAGCGAGACUGCCGGUAAUAAACCGGAGGAAGGUGGGGAUGACGUCAAAUCAUCAUGCCCCUUAUGACCUGGGCUACACACGUGCUACAAUGGUUGGUACAACGAGUUGCGAGUCGGUGACGGCAAGCUAAUCUCUUAAAGCCAAUCUCAGUUCGGAUUGUAGGCUGCAACUCGCCUACAUGAAGUCGGAAUCGCUAGUAAUCGCGGAUCAGCACGCCGCGGUGAAUACGUUCCCGGGCCUUGUACACACCGCCCGUCACACCACGAGAGUUUGUAACACCCGAAGUCGGUGAGGUAACCUUUUGGAGCCAGCCGCCUAAGGUGGGAUAGAUGAUUGGGGUGAAGUCGUAACAAGGUAGCCGUAUCGGAAGGUGCGGCUGGAUCACCUCCUUUCUAAGGAA